UACGUAGGGUGCAAGCGUUGUCCGGAAUUAUUGGGCGUAAAGAGCUCGUAGGCGGUUUGUCGCGUCUGCUGUGAAAACUCGGGGCUUAACUCCGGGCCUGCAGUGGGUACGGGCAGACUAGAGUGCGGUAGGGGAGACUGGAAUUCCUGGUGUAGCGGUGAAAUGCGUAGAUAUCGGAAGGAACGCCGGUGGCGAAAGCGGCGUGCUGGAUCUCUUCUGACGCUGAGGCGCGAAAGCCAGGGGAGCAAACGGG
rnacentral:rRNA from 1 species